CUGUACGCUUCAGAAGCACAGCGCGCAAUUACCCAAUCUAGACAGUAGGAGGUGGUGAAGAGAAUUACUGAAUGUUAAUAGCAUGGAACGAAUAGUUUAGUGGAAGUGAGUGUAUGAGUGGUACAUUUUGUACUGCUUUUAUACUCACAGCACCAACCACGAAGCGGAACAUUGGUUGCCGACUUCGGGUGAGGAUUAAGAGGGGCAUUUGGGGGCAUUAGUAUUUGCCGCGAGAGGUGAAAUUCUUGGACCGGCAAAGGACUAACAAGUGCGAAAGCAGUUGCCAAGUAUGUUCCCAUUAAUCAAGAACGAAAGUGAGAGGUUCGAAGACGAUCAGAUACCGUCCUAGUUCUCACCGUAAACGAUGCCAACCCGGGAUCAGUUCGGAUGCAAAUGUUUGAUCCAGGUUGGUCCCCCUGGGAAACCUUGAGUGUUUAGGUUCCGGGGGGAGUAUGGUUGCAAGGCUGAAACUUAAAGGAAUUGACGGAAGGGCACCACCAGGGGUGGAGCCUGCGGCUUAAUUUGACUCAACACGGGAAAACUCACCUGGUCCGGACAUCGAUAGGAUUGACAGACUAAUAGAUCUUUCAUGAUACGGUGGGUGGUGGUGCAUGGCCGUUCUUAGUUCGUGGAGCGAUCUGUCAGGUUU
rnacentral:rRNA from 1 species